GAUGAACGCUAGCUACAGGCUUAACACAUGCAAGUCGCGGGGCAGCAUGGGGGUUGCUUGCACCCCCUGAUGGCGACCGGCGCACGGGUGAGUAACGCGUAUCCAACCUGCCCUUCACCACGGGAUAACCCGGCGAAAGUCGGACUAAUACCGUAUGUUGUCCAUUGACGGCAUCCGAUUUGGACGAAAGGCUGGGCGGUGAAAGGAGGGGGAUGCGUCCGAUUAGCUUGACGGCGGGGUAACGGCCCACCGUGGCUACGAUCGGUAGGGGUUCUGAGAGGAAGGUCCCCCACACUGGAACUGAGACACGGUCCAGACUCCUACGGGAGGCAGCAGUGAGGAAUAUUGGUCAAUGGGCGUAAGCCUGAACCAGCCAAGUAGCGUGCAGGAUGACGGCCCUAUGGGUUGUAAACUGCUUUUAUGCGGGGAUAAAGUGGCCCACGUGUGGGCUUUUGCAGGUACCGCAUGAAUAAGGACCGGCUAAUUCCGUG
rnacentral:rRNA from 1 species